AGGGUGGUGGCUCAAUUGGUAGAGCAGCGGUCUCCAAAACCGCAGGUUGCAGGUUCGAGUCCUGUCCGCCCUGCAA
rnacentral:tRNA from 62 species